ensembl:lncRNA
AUACAGAAACUUGGCUGCUCACCAAAGCCAAUCAGAUGCUGAUGUUACGGGCCUUUUGUUUUCAAACUGAAUAUAAGGGAUAUAUCAAGACCUCAGUAUCACAAAAUCCUCCUCAACAAUCCUGAUCACGCUCAACAGUCUUAAACAAAGGUAAGGUAAUAUUAAUUCAACAAAUGCUCAUCAGCACCUUUGCUGUUUGGGGUUGAAGGUCUAGUUCUAGAUCUAGAUCUAGUUUCCUGUUGUAGUUGGUUAAAUUUAACUAUUUCUUUCAUAAAAUGUAUAUUUCACAUUUCAUUUCAGACGUUAUCAUUCAACAUGAGAGCCCUUAUUUUGCUGGCAUUAGUCAUUGGAGUGGCCUACUGCGCUCCGCAAUUGAUGUAUUAUGAGCUAGAGUACAAACCUGUCCUGGCUUCACAGGCUCUUCCUGCGGCUGCUGCUGCAGCUAGACCUUCUGAAGUUGAGAUUGUAAGUAUGGAUAUGUGAAAUAGAUUAAUUUUUACCAUCACUCAAUAAUAUAUUACUCAGACAUAUAAUAAAUAUUAUAAUAUCNCCUGUGAGUUUCAGUUGGUUUUUAUUUCCUUUCACAGAAUAUUCAUUAUUUCCUGCUAUUUUGGCACGCAGACAGUGCUCAUUUUGUCUUAUUCUCCACAGGGUCAACCUGUCCACGGCUUCAUUAAGCAUGAGAUUCCCCAGCCCGCAGGCAAAGAAAGUGUUGAAGUUCUGUACCCAUUCAGCUUUCCUCAACCUGCUCCAGCUGCUCCAGCUGUUCCAGCUGUUCCUGCUGUUCCUGCUGCCCCUGCUGCCCCAGCCCCUGUUCCAAAGGACGAUGAUGAUGAUGAUCAUGACGACUAAACCAGAUUGAUGAACAGAUAAGCUGACCACCAAUUCUUGAACCUCAAAGAAACUGCUUGUAGUGUUUAGCAAAUUGACUGAAAUAAUGUCACAGUCAAUCAAAGGGUGCUUUCUCAGUGGCUUGAUGCAUGAGAGCCAUAAAAAUCAUAGCUUUUUUGCAACCAUGUUUUUAAAUCUUGAUUUAUAAUAAACCGUACAAUCAAUUCCUUGCCUCCUUGUGU